rnacentral:rRNA from 1 species
GGGUUGUGAGGUUAAGCGACUAAGCGUACACGGUGGAUGCCCUGGCAGUCAGAGGCGAUGAAGGACGUGCUAAUCUGCGAUAAGCGUCGGUGAGGUGAUAUGAACCGUUAUAACCGGCGAUUUCCGAAUGGGGAAACCCAGUGUGAUUCGUCACACUAUCAUUAACUGAAUCCAUAGGUUAAUGAGGCGAACCGGGGGAACUGAAACAUCUAAGUACCCCGAGGAAAAGAAAUCAACCGAGAUUCCCCCAGUAGCGGCGAGCGAACGGGGAGCAGCCC